rnacentral:rRNA from 1 species
GACGAACGCUGGCGGCGUGCCUAAUACAUGCAAGUUGAGCGCUGAAGGUUGGUACUGGUACCAACUGGAUGAGCAGCGAACGGGUGAGUAACGCGUGGUGAAUCUGCCUUUGAGCGGGGGACAACAUUUGGAAACGAAUGCUAAUACCGCAUAAAAACUUUAAACACAAGUUUUAAGUUUGAAAGAUGCAAUUGCAUCACUCAAAGAUGAUCCCGCGUUGUAUUAGCUAGUUGGUGAGGUAAAGGCUCACCAAGGCGAUGAUACAUAGCCGACCUGAGAGGGUGAUCGGCCACAGUGGGACUGAGACACGGCCCAAACGCCUACGGGAGGCAGCAGUAGGGAAUCUUCGGCAAUGGACGAAAGUCUGACCGAGCAACGCCGCGUGAGUGAAGAAGGUUUUCGGAUCGUAAAACUCUGUUGGUAGAGAAGAACGUUGGUGAGAGUGGAAAGCUCAUCAAGUGACGGUAACUACCCAGAAAGGGACGGCUAACUACGUG